CAGAUCUCACCUAACUGCCAGGCUUAACCCAAAAACCACUCGAAUGGUUCAAAGAGGUUCAACACCUAUAUGAUAAAACCAUUACGUUGUUUUCAAUCAACAUCCGAUCGGUAUUGUUUCUAGGCAUAAAAACGAGUCACCACACAACAUAAUUCAACUGACAUAACAGAUGUGUUCAACAUGUAAGAUUCUAAAUGUGGUCACCAGUACCAUUUUCGGAACCCAUUCCACCAGACUGGUAGAUGCACUUGGCGUCCGCGACAGUUUAACCGGUUAUUACUAAGUUAAAAUGUGAGUGCCUACGUAGAAUUCAGAUGGUAUUCAGUUGGUGGAGCUUUUUAAAGAAAAAUUGUGGCUUGUGGUGCACCGCUUGUACUUGUCCUCGAACAACACAUAGCAAAGACACUCGUCGGAGAAUAUAUUCCUACAAAUGCAAUGUAAUAAUUGGAAAAUAAUCAUUAAGAGAUAAUAUUACAUCUUCACCGAUGUAUAUAAGAUAUC